rnacentral:rRNA from 1 species
UACGUAGGGUGCGAGCGUUAAUCGGAAUUACUGGGCGUAAAGCGUGCGCAGGCGGUUUUUUAAGCCAGAUGUGAAAGCCCCGGGCUCAACCUGGGAAUGGCAUUUGGGACUGCAAGGCUUGAGUGCGGCAGAGGAGACUGGAAUUCCUGGUGUAGCAGUGAAAUGCGUAGAGAUCGGGAGGAACAUCAGUUGCGAAGGCGGCUCUCUGGACCAGCACUGACACUGAGGCACGAAAGCGUGGGGAGCAAACAGG